CAACUUCAGCAGAUCGCAAGAGCAUCUCUCUCUUAUGCGAAGUAGAAUGCCAUUGGUAGCAUCAUCAAGCUCAGGCACAUCAGAAGGCCAACUCGAAGGAGACGCAGGGACC